CCUAAGAGACCUGCCAUUUUGUGCUCUAAUCGACCUCUUAUGAAUAGGAGCCGUGCAUAAUGCUGCGAGGAGCGUUGUGACAUUCAAUUGCGACCUUCAGUACCUAUCCUGUGUCUUUUAAGGACUUCCUCAGCCAGGGAACACAUUCGUUGGUUUAAGAGUAACUGUAAAGAGUCUGCAAGAGCUUCCAUCAUCCAUCGAUAGAAGAAUUAAACUUUGCUGCACUCCAGCUAGCUAGAUGGGGAAACUGAGGCAAAGAGGUUAAAGGGCCUCUUUCAGCCACGGAGUGUGUUGAUGUCUGUUCCUGCUCCCUAGACAUGUGCACAGACUACUAGACUUCACUGCUCUGGCAGCAGCAGGGAAGUGGGACGCCCCUUUGGCAAUCUGUCAGUGCCAACCUGAGCUGCAUCCAUUUGCUGGGUAUUUUCUAAGCUGACUGACAGUCCUUAAAACAAGUAUGCAGUUAAGCUGCUAAGGUAAGAUUUGCUAUAUUAGCAUACUUUACACCAUAUAUUAAGCCAUAAAUGGAUCAUCCUGUUAUGCUUUAGGGUCCCCGUCCUGAAAUUUCUCAGUCAAGUGAAUAUCUCCUCAAGAAACAGUUCCUGUUACACUCUCACUUCCCCCACCCCCAUCUCUUUCAUUUAAGAAUUGCAUUUGGGAGGUGCGGGUGCUCUGUGUGCAUGAGAACUGCAGACAUAGGCUUAUGUCAAGUCAUUGGAGUCCCUUCAAACUUCUGAAUUAAUAUAUGGAUGAUUAAACAAAAUGUUUGCCUCUCUGUCUUGUAUUCAUGGAUUUUUUUUCAGGGUUUUGGGGGAAAGAAACCGAAGCCCCCUGUGUCACGUAGUAGCAGGUCAAGCCUUUUUGGUAUAUCAGGGUCAGGGAGCUGUGCAAAGUUUCCUAGCAAAUAAGUCUAACCCAUUAGUUCAAAAAUAUUGAGGAGCAGUUAACGUAUUCUAGUUCCAAGAAACCACUGCUGUUAUUUUGAGUAGUUUUGAUACAACCAAAUCAAAGUGAAGAUUUGAAAUAGCUUUUCUGAAAGCCCAAGCCGAAGUCAUAAAUUAUUCUACACCAUGAUUCGUUCAGAUAGUAAAACCAUACCUCUUUGCCUGACAUUACUGAAAUGUAGAAAAGGGAAAGUUAAAAAUAAAAUGAAACAUUUAAAUCUUUGCUGUUGAGAACCUCAGAUAGAUGGCAAUAUAGCAAAGUUGAUAAAAGCGAUUCUCAAUUAGACUUUAUUAUUAUUUUAUUAAGGUAUUAUUAAUAAACAUCAGGGUGCAGCAGGCGUUAACACUAUCCUGGUAUUAGACAAGUGGACACUGAAGAAAAAUAAAGGCAAGUUGCCUGUAAUGAGAAAAAGUAGAAGGACGUGUCUAAACUGCAAAUGACAUGAAAAGCAGAAAUAUCAUAUAUUUGUCCUUCAGGCCUGAUCCUGUGGCCUUUUGUUGUGUAGUGAGUUCUGUUAAGUUGCGCAUAACCAGUCAUGAAUAAGCUCUAGUUCUCUGAGUCAAGGCUACUUGACUAUUUCCCAAGAGAACAGGUAGAACAUUUUGUUGUGUAUGUACAUAUACAUAUAUAUAUAUAUAUUGUUUCUUUCAUUAAGCCCAGUAAAUGCGCAUUGCUGUCUCUUUUCAGUGAGCUUUUACAGACGUAUCUCUUUCUCUUUAAAAAUAAAU
rnacentral:lncRNA from 1 species